CCCCAGUUAAUCAGGAAGUGACGAUUUUGUUCUCUUUGACUUGUUAGAUGGAUACGCUGCUUUAUCCACACAUCUUUAAUGCAAUAUUCCAGUUUUGCACAUUCAUUUAAUUUGCAUUUUUGGAUGAAAACAUAGCUAAUGACAGAUUCCCAGAAAAAUCAAGUUUGAUAUUUGUUACUACUAACAGCAAAAUAAUUACAAGGCAAUGCUGAGAUAAGUAGUCACAUUUAAAGAAUAAGUACUUGCAUCUAUUUAAUAGGCACAAGUAUGGAACAAAUAGAAAUAGCAUCACAAACGUGCUAUGUAAUGAAUAGGUAAGUACACUGUAUUAGGGUGUCCUUGUUACAGUGAAAAAAAUAUUUAACUACUUGAGUAAUAUUUAUUAAAAGUACUUUAGUACAUUAGAAUGAUGAUUAGUAUUACUUGCAUUUAUACAUUAUAAUUAUAAUCGCUACAGCAAGUACAGGUAACAACAGGGACACCUUAAAAUAAUGUUUUACCCUAAUUUCUUAUGAAUAAGUCUUGGUAUGUUCUAGCUCUAAGGGAAAUAAAGCUGUAGCUAAUGAUUAAGUACUUGUUCUUAAUAGAAAACAUUGCAGCAUUUAAGACAUAACUUGUAGCAUAUUUCCCAGAGAUGGGUUGCAGCUGGAGGAGCACCUGCUGCGUAAAAACUUGCUGGAUAAGUUGGCGGUUCAUUCCGCUGUGGCGACUCCAUAUUAAUAAAGAGACUAAGCCGACAAGAAAAUGAAUGAAUGACUUGUAGCAUACUACAUUGUAAAAAAUACAGGGUUUCACACAAUUCGUUAAUUUUGUCUCAACACACAUGUAUUACGUUAACCUAACAAAUUUAAGUGGAUUAAACAUAAUAGAAUUAAGUUGUCCCCAAUUGUUUUGUUUUAGCUCAUUUUAAAUAAUUAGCUUGAACAAGCAGCAACAUUUUUUGAGUGUAGUACAUGUUAUAGAUUAAAUGGUAAAAUGGCUUGCCAUACACUCUUUGUAUGCUUCACUGAUCAUAAGUAGGCAUAAAAUCUCAUUUUAUUUUUAAAACACUGUCCCCCUUCUUUUCCUCAGUUGCUGUCUCCCUAUGGAGUUUCCAUGGCUACUUGGUCACAUGAUCUAACAAAGCCCCUCCCUCUGCCCUGAGGUUGGAGCUAAUGCGUGGAUGCACCUCUGGGUUUUGCCAUAGACACAAAUCCACAACUACAGUAAAAUAAAGGGUCAUUUAAUGAUUUAAACAGUUUUACAGCUGUAAAUUCUAUAUUUUGCUGAACAAGAUUUGAUGUGAUUCUUCAGCUUAGCUUUUCAGUCUUUCCUCUGUUGCUUCUUUUCCAUGUGAGGAAAAGGUGGGUCAUGAAACUGCUGCCUUGUGCUAGAGACAGAAAAACGGAGAGACAGCCAACCUUUCACAGAUAAAUUUCUGCAUAUCUGCGCACAAGCAGCCAAAGCACAUCUGCCUACAGUCUGUCAAGCUUUCAAGACAUCUCCAUGUGGACAACCAACCACUGCUCUGGGUUGCCACAGCGGAAUGAACUGCCAACUUAUCCAGCAUAUGU